UAGUCCAUGCAGUAAACGAUGAUCACUAAACGUCUGGGUUUUCCUGGGUGUUGCAGCUAACGCGUUAAGUGAUCCACCUGAGUACUACGAUCGCAAGAUUAAAACUUAAAGAAAUUGACGGGGGUCCGCACAAGCGGUGGAACAUGUGGUUUAAUUCGAUACUACGCGAGGAACCUUACCUGGGUUUGACAUGCAUGCGGAUAUUUUAGAGAUAGAAUAGUCAGAAGUUUACUUUUGACGCAUGCACAGGUGCUGCAUGGCUGUCGUCAGCUCGUGUCGUGAGAUGUUAGGUUAAGUCCUUUAACGAGCGCAACUCUUUCCGUUAGUUGCUAACCAUUAAUUUGGAGCACUCUAAUGGUACUGCCUGGGAAACUAGGAGGAAGGAGGGAAUGACGUCAAGUCUCAUGGCCCUUAUGUCCAGGGGCUACACACGUGUUACAAUGACUGAUACAAAGAGU
rnacentral:rRNA from 1 species